CUGCAGAAUGACUACUUUUACUUUUGGUACUUUAGUAUAUUUUGGUGCUGAAACGUUUGUACUCUUACUUGUGACGACGUAGUUUCACACUGUAGUACUCCCCCUCUGGCUGUGAGCUCCAUGAGCUCCAGUGCGCAGCCGUGGGGCGCAUUUAAAGGAGGUCGGAUCCGGAAAUCAUUCUCUUUCCUCGGACACAGCCACGAGAAGAGUGCAGCGCUGCUGCUCCUCAUCACAGCUAAAACUAAGAAGACUGCAUCAAGUAUAUUCUGCAUCAUGAAGAUGUCGAGUCAGCUUCACCUACUACAGAUUUCACCUCCUGGUCUUAUUUCUUUUAAAGCUGCUUCAGAGGUUCUGCUUGGUCACUGAGAUGAACCAGAUUUAAUCCUUCGUCUGCUGAUCAGGAGGUGAGUUCUGAUGCACGAUUUUCUUGUUGGUUUAUGCCAGUGGGACACCAUUGUCAUAUUUUCAGUUUACCCACCAAACGCGUAGGGGGGGGGGGGGUAAACUGAGGGACCAGAGUAACUGCAGAGCUUCUCAGAAUACCUAGUUUAGACUCUUCUAAAUGUUGAGCACUGGCAACUAUUGCAGCUGUAAUAGUGAUGAGAUCAAAUUUUCGCCGUUUACCCAUCAGACAUCACAAUGGUGAGUUCGAAUCUCCUGAAUUACAGCUGCAGCCUGAGGUUUACUGUCGUAUCAGGAAUUUAUCUUUGCAAAUGUGUCAAGUAGGACAGAAAGUCAUCUUGACUUGUGGAGUUGCAAUAUGUGAACUAACAAAUUGAACUUUCUUCUGCAGCUGGCACAGCAGUGGAACAAACACACUGUCCUUCAUCUUCUGUGGUAUGUAAAGCUCAUACUAAAUUAUAUUUCAAGACUUUCCUGAUUAAAGAAGUAAUGAUGAGUUAUCCAUUUGCCGUUUACCCAUCAGACCAAAUAUGGGUUGCUGAGACUGUGACUAACUGAACUUAAUGUCAAAAGUUGUAAAACAUACAUUGAUUUUCCACUUGUACUAAUUUAUGUAUGUUUAAACUUUCAGUUGAUCAGACUGUCUGUGGCUUCAUUUGAAGGGUAAGUAGAGGACACUGUCACUGACUGAGUUUACAUGCGCACUAAUCCACUAUUUUCUGAAUUUGAUGCCUUGUCUAAAUAAACUUGUCUGAAAGAAAGAUGCGUUGGUGUGAUUUUGUUUCCCUGCAUAUAAACCC
rnacentral:lncRNA from 1 species